rnacentral:rRNA from 1 species
AAUGAACGCUGGCGGCAGGCUUAACACAUGCAAGUCGAACGAGUGGAGGAGGGGUGAGUAAUGCUUGGGAAUCUGGCUUAUGGAGGGGGAUAACGACGGGAAAAUGUCGAUAAUACCGCGUACCAUAGGCUGAGCCCAGGGUGGAUUAGGUAGGUGGUGGGGGAAUGGCCUACCAAGCCGACGAUCUCUAGCUGGCUUGAGAGGGUGACCAGCCACACGGGGACUGAGACACGGCCCGGACUCCUACGGUAGGCAGCAGUGGGGAAUAUUGGGCAAUGGCGGCAACCCUGACGCAGCCAUGCCGCGUGACUGAAGACGGCUUUCGGGUUGUAAAGUUCUUUCGGUGACGAGGCGUUAUCCACCGAAGAAGCACCGGCUAACUCCGUGCCAGCAGCCGCGGUAAUUC